rnacentral:rRNA from 1 species
AUGAACGCUGGCGGCGUGCCUAAUACCUGCCAGUCGCGCGAACAGACGAGGAGCUUGCUCCUCUGACGUUAGCGGCGGACGGGUGAGUAACACGUGGAUAACCUACCUAUAAGACUGGGAUAACUUCGGGAAACCGGAGCUAAUACCGGAUAAUAUAUUGAACCGCCUGGUUCAAUAGUGAAAGACGGUUUUGCUGUCACUUAUAGAUGGAUCCGCGCCGCAUUAGCUAGUUGGUAAGGUAACGGCUUACCAAGGCAACGAUGCGUAGCCGACCUGAGAGGGUGAUCGGCCACACUGGAACUGAGACACGGUCCAGACUCCUACGGGAGGCAGCAGUAGGGAAUCUUCCGCAAUGGGCGAAAGCCUGACGGAGCAACGCCGCGUGAGUGAUGAAGGUCUUCGGAUCGUAAAACUCUGUUAUUAGGGAAGAACAAAUGUGUAAGUAACUAUGCACGUCUUGACGGUACCUAAUCAGAAAGCCACGGCUAACUACGUG